UAAAGGCCAGAGCAGCUGACCUUCUGCAUAGGGAACCACUUUUCUUCCUGUGUGCACACUUGUAAUCGAUAAAAGAGCCUUGGGCUGUCUGAUCUAAAAUCAACAGUGUGGUCGAUUUUCUGAAACAGUGGUAUUACAAUGUACUGGAAACAUGGGAUGAGCAGUACUGGGUCCAGAAUGUCACAUGAAGACACCCACAUUCCUGGAGCAGUGUGAGGACUUUGUCCUGGCGCUUACAAGCAAAGCAGGCAGAUUCUUUAGAGCUUGAUUCACAUAAGAUAAUAGUCCUACUGUAUAUGUAUAACUCAGAAAUGUGGAAACAAUGAUACAAGGUUAUGAAGAGGACAACAUUUUGGUCCAGAAUGUACAUAAAUACAACCAGAGAAGACUUCAUCCUGGAUUACAGCUAUUCAGAGUUUGGGCAGUGAAAAGUUUUUCCAUGAACAUUAAUUUUAAUUCCUAAUAUCUAUUAAGCUCAGUUGUGUUCAUCUCCCAUUUUAUUCAUCAGUGGAGAAUACUCAUGUUUACAUAAAUGUUAGGGGAAUGUCUGCUCUUCAUAUUAUAGUCCAUAUUUGCAUGCAAAUGGACAUAUUCACACACGAGCAAAAGCACACCACAGUUUAUUUUCCUUAAAAAAAGUCCAGUCAUCCGAUCAGAUAACAGAAACAAUACCAUGUGACUUACAUGACGACUCGCAUGUCAUGACUAAUAAAUUCUAAUAGGCUGAAAACUACCCAUCUAUACCAUUUAGCGAAUACUUACUUGCAAAGGAAGAGCACAGUGGCAGGAAUAAAGACCAGAUCAUGAAUGUUUUCCAAAUGGAAAAAACCAAAGCAGCCCCAUUAAUAAAUGAAGGCAAUAAAACCCAAUAUUUUGUUUUAAUGAACUGUUGUAUUUUUCUUUUCUUGGUCUUCUGCUGUUUCAUCACACACCUUUUUCUGGAGCAGAGGUUUAAAUAAAAGCUGGCCAUACACAUUAGGGCUGUCUGAUAAAAUCACAUUCGGGGGCAGAAACCUCAAAUCCUUCAUUAGCAGGGUCAUAAACUACAAAUGCCAUUUGAUUAGGAUAUGAUUAAAGGAAUUUAUUAACAGAUGUGCAUUCAGCAACACUGUUUCAUUGGCAGCUUUAUGAGAUUCUUUCCGGGGAUGACAGGUGUGGCCUUCCAGUUCCUUUGUACAGAAAAUGCUGAAUAGAGUUUAUGCAGUGUAUAAUGAUUUAAUUCAAGUCCCCAUCAAUUGCUAGAAAAGAAAGAAGCUUUUACAUAUUAAUUGAAGCCAAAUAUUAGAAAUUAGACAGAGCAAAAGAAAGUAUCAUUGAUCAGAGGAGAGAUCAAUUUAAUAGGACACAGUCACAUCAGACAUGUAUUUUGUCAGGAUAUGUCAGAAUUUUGUAAAAUUUGGCAAAUGGAAACCUUUUGAAGUUGUUUGUUUGUCGUUUUCCAUUCAUGGGACAGUCAACUCUAGUCAUUUAGGCCUCAACUGGCAAAAGAAAGAAGAUCUUUUUGGUUUAUUGAUCUGAUACAAAAUUGUGAUUACAAAUUGAAAACACAGAGUGAAUAAACGAAGGAAAAUUGGGAACUUGUGUGGUUAGGUAUUUUUAACUGCUGUGUCUGGCUGUUCUGUAUUUAACAGAGACUGCAAAAUUCUAGACAUCUCUAUUCUGGGCCUCGUUAUCAUUGAUUAAAAUUUGCCAUACAGUCUAGUUUACAGAGCAAUUAAAAUGUUCUUUUCUGCCUCUAAUCUCAUUUUCCAUAUGUUCUGUGUUCUAGAUAUAUAUUCUGCACUAAUAAUAUUUUCUGUAACAAGUUUCUGAUAGCUGCAUUGAAACUUUUUCCAUUUAAAAUAUGUGGCAGUCAAGAUGAAGGUAUCCAAGAACUUUUGUUCUGCAGCAAACUGAGAUUCUUCAAAUGCUUGUGAGAAGAAAUGAAAGCUGAUUGGUGUAGAUGCGUAAGUAAGAAGUUAUAUUUAGGAUACACCCAGACUCCAUGCCAAAUUUCUCCUCCACUGCAAGAUUGACCUGAAAGGCCUCAGACAUCUUCUACUAUUCAGUAGUGGGACAACAGUGGUGACAGAAUGAGACGCUGGUGUUGGAAGAAAGGACAAGAAUAUCAACGUAUUGUACAGUGUAUAGCAGUGAGAUAAAAUCAGUGCUCUGUGAAAGAGGCACCCAAAGGACACAGGAAACCAACUAUAUUUAAACCAGUGAAAGUGGUUAUAAAAAAAGUGACAUCAAAUGCAGAAAGUUUUCUGUAAGUCUUCAGGUUGAAACCAAACAAAGUUUGAGCACAAAAGGAAAUCUUUCCAGCCAGUUAGGAGCAGCAGGAAAUACAGUGACAAUGGACACAAUUGCAGCUUUAAAUGGAGGUUCCAUUGUGCAUACAGCCUCUUCACAUACAUCAUGCAUCAUCUACUCCCUUUUCCCUUAUGGUGAAAUCCUGGUCCUAUUGAAGUGGCUGGGAGUUUUGUGAGUGGCUUCAGUGGGUCCAGGGUUUCAUCUGUCUUUAAUUAGGUGAAAUAUGAAUAGAUGCUGCAUGAGAACUGGCAUCCAAGAUCAGAACCAUAAUCCAUCUAGCCUAGUAUCCUGUGACUG